CACACACGGGUGCUCCCCUCCUUCCCGCACUGCCAGGGCAGCAGCAAGCUGCGCAUCCCAGGCGAGGGGGAGCCCAGCUGCCACCUGCGCGCGCCUGGGAGGAGGGGGGGAUGCUUGUCCAGGGCUGCCCAAGUUCAAAGUUCACAGUUCACUUACCCCCCUCCCAAAAAAAAGUGCAGUAGUUUUUGCAAUGCAAGAUGGCGACGAGGCAGUGAGAGGAGGAGGAGGCACAGACACAGCUGAGGGGGAGGCAGCAGCGCGGCGAGAUACCCAGGGCUGCGUGCUGCUGCUCCACUCUCCCCCGGAUCAGGAUGUACAGCACUGGAGAGCCAAAGCAUUGCCCAUAAAGCACAUAAUUGGAAAGGGCUCUGGGCCUCUGCCCCAGUCAGAACACCUGCAAUAGUGAACACUAACUGUUCAUUCUUCCUCUUCUGAGCAGUCGACAAGGAUCUAUGCCUGAAGUACCUUAUUUUGGUGGUGGAUGUGGACUUUAAGGUGUGACUCAACGUUUCAUCCUUUGACUAUAAGUUUUUUUAUCUGAUUGCACUAAAAAAAAGCUGCUAAUGGGAUAAAUGUUGAGACAUUUAAGGAACUGACUUGAAGUACCAAAAGCCAUUAUUAUAAAACAAGAAAAGCUUGAAGCCAAGGCCUGCAUCCGGCCAGUCAGUAUCAUUUCCUCACCGUGACAGAAUGGCAAGUAAAAGAAAAUCAACUACACCUUGCAUGGUCCUGGCAAGCGAGCAGGAUCCAGACCUAGAAAUGAUAUCAGACUUGGAUGAAGGACUUACUCUGCUUACGCCAGCAGAGAACCCCACAGCAGAGAGUAUAUCAAGUGAUGAAGAUGUUCAUGAAUACACGGAUUCAGACAAUCAGCAAAAUAAAAAAGUUGAAGGUGGCUAUGAAUGUAAAUACUGUACAUUUCAGACACCAGAUCUAAAUAUGUUUACUUUCCAUGUGGAUUCAGAGCAUCCCAAUGUAGUUUUAAAUUCUUCCUAUGUUUGUGUGGAAUGCAAUUUUCUUACCAAAAGGUAUGAUGCUCUUUCAGAGCACAAUUUGAAAUACCACCCUGGAGAAGAGAAUUUUAAAUUGACCAUGGUGAAACGUAACAACCAGACAAUCUUUGAGCAAACAGUGAAUGAUCUCACUUUUGACGGGAGUUUUGUGAAAGAGGAGAAUACGGAGCAACCCAACGCCUCUGAGGUCUCCUCGUCAGGCAUCUCCAUUAGCAAAACUCCAAUUAUGAAAAUGAUGAAAAAUAAAGCAGAGACUAAACGAAUUGCAGUUUUUCACAAUGUAGUUGAAGACAUUCCUGGUGAAGAAAAGGAAACGGAAAAUGAGCCGGACUGCGAGGAAGUAGUAGAAAACCCACCAUCAGCAGCCCCCGAGUCUAAAACAAGCAACCCAGCUGCUUGCAAUACAGCAGAUACAACUAGCACAAUAGUUACCCCAGCCCCAGUAAUUCCUCCAGGGGUGGCACAGGUAAUCACGGCUGUCACAGCUCAGCAGAACUCCAACUUGAUUCCAAAAGUCUUAAUCCCAGUCAACAGCAUUCCAACCUACAACACUGCUUUGGAUAACAAUCCGCUCUUGCUCAACACCUACAACAAAUUUCCCUACCCAACCAUGUCAGAAAUCACUGUUCUUUCUGCUCAAGCUAAAUAUACUGAGGAACAGAUUAAAAUAUGGUUUUCUGCCCAACGUCUGAAGCAUGGUGUGAGUUGGACACCAGAGGAAGUGGAGGAAGCAAGAAGGAAGCAAUUCAAUGGCACUGUGCAUACUGUACCACAGACAAUUACAGUCAUCCCAGCACACAUUUCAGCAGCUAGCAAUGGUUUGCCAUCCAUCUUGCAGACAUGCCAAAUUGUUGGUCAGCCAGGUCUUGUCCUCACUCAAGUUGCAGGUGCAAAUACAUUACCAGUAACGGCCCCUAUAGCUUUGACAGUAGCAGGAGUCCCAAAUCAAACACAGCUACAGAAGAGCCAAAUCCAUACUGCCCAGCCUAUGGCGGAAACCAAGCAAAUAGCUGCCAUUCCAGCCCCUCAGUCCAUCAAAAAUGAAAACACACCUGAUUCAUUUGGCAUCCGUGCAAAAAAAACAAAAGAACAGCUGGCAGAAUUGAAAGUCAGCUACCUUAAAAAUCAGUUUCCUCAUGAUUCGGAGAUUAUUAGGCUCAUGAAAAUAACAGGCUUGACUAAAGGAGAGAUCAAAAAGUGGUUCAGUGACACACGUUACAACCAGAGAAACUCAAAGAAUAAUCAUGGUAUUCAUCUCAACAGCGAUUCCUGUGCCACCAUUGUUAUCGACUCAAGUGAUGAAACAAAUGAGUCGCCCACGGCAGUCACUCCACAGAGCAAGCAGUCGUGGAACGCUUUCCCGGAUUUCACCCCGCAGAAGUUCAAAGAAAAGACUGAUGAGCAGUUACAACUCCUCCAAGCCAGUUUUCUCAACAGCCCUGUCCUUACGGAUGAAGAGAUGAAUCGGUUAAGAGCACAAACCAAACUGACCAGGAGGGAGAUUGAUUCCUGGUUUACAGAGAGAAGGAAAUCGGAUGCCUUAAAGGAAGAGGUAGGUGAUUUGAAUGAGAGCACUGCAAGCAGCUCAAAAGAGGAGGCUGGAGAAACCUCUCUGGGAGAUGGAUCUGCAGGGUCAAAAUCAGGGGCUGCUGCUUCAAGCAAGAUGGGUAAAAAAUCACCGGAGCAGUUACACAUACUGAAGAGCUCAUUUGUCCGUACUCAGUGGCCAUCCCCGCAAGAAUAUGACAAGCUGGCAGAAGAAACUGGACUUCCUAGAUCAGAAAUUGUUAGUUGGUUUGGAGACACUCGCUACGCCUGGAAAAACGGUGGUUUGAAGUGGUACUAUUACUACCAGAGUGCCAAUGCGAAUAGCCUGAAUGGGCAAAGCUAUGUCAGAAAGAGGGGGAGAGGAAGACCAAAAGGAAGGGGAAGGGGGAGGCCUCGCGGACGGCCCCGAGGAAGCAAAAGGCUGAACAGCUGGGACCGAGGAUUGUCCAUCAUAAAAUUUAAAACUGGAACAGCAAUCCUUAAGGAUUAUUACAUGAAGCACAAAUUCCUUAAUGAGCAAGAUCUGGAUGAACUGGUAGCCAAAUCACACAUGGGGUAUGAGCAGGUCAGAGAAUGGUUUGCGGAAAGACAAAGACGAUCAGAGCUAGGCAUAGAGCUCUUUGAGGAGAAUGAGGAGGAAGAUGAAAUGCUGGAGGAUCAGGAAGACGAGGAAGAAACGGAUGAUAGUGACACUUGGGAACCCCCCCGACAUGUUAAGCGUAAACUCUCAAAAUCAGAUUGACAUGUAAGUUUGGGGCUCGGGGCCAAAAACCCAUGAAUUUGACAUUAUUGUGAAGAGCCAAAUAACUAAUGGCCUUCAGUUUUAGUGAACACCUGCUUAGCAUUUUUCCUCCGCCUCAGAGAGCAGACAAGAUGCUACCUGUGCAGCCAACAAAUGUUUCCCUCCUGGCUAGCAGAGAUGGACACGCUCGAUGCUGCCCAGGAUUUGGGGUUCUAAAAUCAACCCAAAUUCAGCUCCUCUUCCUCCACAUCACUACCGUGGGUCCAUCCUUUACGUGACUCCUUAGAAAUAUUUAGCUGCCUUACAUUUAAGUCCAAAAACACAGAUGCAGUUCCCAUUGUUGUAGGAGAACAUUACCCACUCUUGGAGGAGGAAAAUACAAAAACCUAAGAUGUCUUUUUGCAAACCUCGCUUCACCUGCAAGGCUUCAGGGCUUGGGGUUUUAUUUUUAAAGGAAAGAAUUCAGAAGCAAAAGAAGGGGAAAAGUGGCACAAAGGAACCAAUAAAGCCAGGGAAUAUCUGAUUCGAUUAUGCUAGUUACUCCUGCUUUUGAAACUCAGCUGAUGCGAGAAAAAGAAGUUUCGAGGCCAGAAUGGAGAAAGACAUACAGUAAAAGAUAGGAAUUGAUGCCACGCUGCCCAAGAGGCGAAGGGGAAGCAAUUCUUGAAAAGUUCAAGAUAUCUGGUUUACUGUGAAUGGGCCUAAUCUUUCGUGAAACCAAGAACAUUUUUGGACACACACAGGAUUGAAUACUCAAAAGGAUUGGAACUUAGUGUUGUGCCAAAGUGAAACUACUGCAGUUGGCAGGAGUUCUGCACUGUAAAUAGAAGACUGAUUAAAAGACAACUUGUAAAAAAAAAUCCAGAUUUUAAUACAGCACAUUUUUAUUCUAAUACAUGAUGGAAACUUUCUGUUUAGACCUUUUUUGAAGGGGCUUCAGUGACCACUAGAUUUUUGUCCUCUUAUAUUUUGUCUGGCUUAAUACUGUAUGUUCUAGUAAGAUGGGCUUUAUUGCCUGUGUUCUUUGAUAUGUGAUUAAGCUUAUAGCUUUGAGUGACCAAACAUUUUACAGAGUAAAAGUUCUUAGAAACAGUAAACAUAACUGAUAUUUCUGUGUCUUAUUUAUCAAGCUCUGCACAAGCUUUGAAGGUUGUUGUGCAUAAUAUUGUACAACUUACACUUUCCUGGGAAUGCAGCGUAUGUCUCAAUAUUACAAACCUAAACUUUUGGUAGUGGUAUGGAUUCUGUCUUUAGAUUUUUUUUUAUUUUUUUUUGAGAAGACAUGAAUGGAUGCUGCUGUUAAAAAUAUUUGUAAUAUUGCCAUGAUUGCUUUCAGUAGAAGCUUUUUUGCUUUUGCUUCAAGAGAUAAAGAAAAUAACACAGAGAAGGAAAUAAAAGCCUGAAAGAAGUUGGCAGAAGAGACAACACUGAAGGAACUUCUAAAAAACUAAACUUUGUACCAAAAAUUUGGAACAAAAAUAAUGGAAUAAAGAUCUCCUUACUGAGUGUGCGUGUUUUUAAAGGAUCUAUGGAAAUCAGGAAAUGUAUUUGUAUAAGCAUGUGGCAGUCCAGCCCUUUCAUUAGCAUGGUUCCCCCUCUUCACUCAAUUGAAUUUCACUCGUUUACAAGAUGUCGCAAAUUUGGAAGGCUGGACUGGUUAAGCAGCCAGUAAAAGGUUAGCUCUUCACUUGCAGGUUAAUUAAACUGUUUGACAUUUGCUCCUUUGUCAUAUCAGCAGGCCUGAACGUCCCUGGACAUUUUUUUUAUUAAGGCAGAUGUUCUUGCAUUUUAUUAAAAAAUCAUUUUGGAGCACAGGGAGAACUAAGGCAUCCCAGUUCCUUGUGAAAGGCAUUGGCAAUUGAACACAACUCCUUGCUGUAUUGCCCUCUUUGUGAUUACAAGAGUGUUUUUCAAACGUGCUUUUUCCUUAAGAGAAAUGAGCAUUUUCCAUUUCAGGCUCUACUCAUGUACAAAUAGCUCUAGGGCAAAGCCUGCUUACCUUACGCUCAUUCAACCUCCCAGUUGGAGUCAGUGUGAGCUCUGGGGUUGUCUAAUCAAGCUUGCCUAAGCACACAAGUUGCACCUCUUACCAAUAUAAUGAAAGUGGGUCAACUCCCUAAUGUGGGCCCAGCUAUAUUUGCAUAAAGGUGCUUCAGAGCAAUAUAAUCAUUCCUGCUGGGAGAAGGAAAGAAGCUAUUCCAGUUCAAGGCACCUUUUUACCAAUAAAACUGCAUCCACAAUAUGAGUUGUAUCAUUUAAGAAAAACCCUCACACCGACUGAAAUAGCUAUGCCAGUACAAAUCCCUGUAGAUCAGGCAUAGGAGGUCUUGGACGCCUGUUGUUCAGCCCAAAUGUUUCGCACAGUUCAUGGAAAGUUACCGUGUAAAAACGCUUGUUCUUACUUGAGCGCUUGUCAGCUAGUGGAAGAGUUCCUGAAGAGCCUUUGGAUAUGCAUGCUGCUUUCCUUUUUUAUAAACAAUUACCUUUUUUAUUUUAAUUUUAGCCUUAUUAGUGAUUCCAAACUGCUGUAGUUUCGUUGAUAUUUUCAUAACAGACCAGCUGGCUUUGUGGGUUGGAUUUUUUUUCCAUUUGGUUAUCAUAUGACUGUCAGUUACUAUUUUUCAACAAUGCAAAAUAUUCAGAAAUUAAGUGCACUGCUUUAUUUUUCUAUUCCACACAGCACUCUGUAGUGUAAUGUUAAAAUUGUUCCAUGUGCAGUUUUUUUUUUUUAACCAUGGCUGACUAUGGUCUUCAGUCUCUUCGACAACAGUUUCUUAACAUUUUCAAUUGUUGAACCGAUUUGUUGUGUUUCAGAGAUUGUAAAAUGAAGCCGUAUAAAUAUAUUUAUAUGAUCUGUU